GUAGGGUGCGAGCGUUAAUCGGAAUUACUGGGCGUAAAGCGUGCGCAGGCGGUUUUGUAAGCCAGAUGUGAAAUCCCCGGGCUUAACCUGGGAAUGGCAUUUGGGACUGCAAGGCUGGAGUAUGGCAGAGGGGACUAGAAUUCCUGGUGUAGCAGUGAAAUGCGUAGAUAUCAGGAGGAAUACCGAUGGCGAAGGCAGGUUCCUGGGCCAAUACUGACGCUCAUGCACGAAAGCGUGGGGAGCAAACAGGAUUAGAUACCCUGGUAGUCCACGCCCUAAACGAUGUCAACUGGUUGUUGGGGGAUUUAUUCUCUUAGUAACGAAGCUAACGCGUGAAGUUGACCGCCUGGGGAGUACGGUCGCAAGAUUA
rnacentral:rRNA from 1 species